UUGCACGCUGGCGGCAGGCCUAACCCAUGCCGGUCGAGCGGAUGAAGGGAGCUUGCUCCUGGAUUCAGCGGCGGACGGGUGAGUAAUGCCUAGGAAUCUGCCUGGUAGUGGGGGAUAACGUCCGGAAACGGGCGCUAAUACCGCAUACGUCCUGAGGGAGAAAGUGGGGGAUCUUCGGACCUCACGCUAUCAGAUGAGCCUAGGUCGGAUUAGCUAGUUGGUGGGGUAAAGGCCUACCAAGGCGACGAUCCGUAACUGGUCUGAGAGGAUGAUCAGUCACACUGGAACUGAGACACGGUCCAGACUCCUACGGGAGGCAGCAGUGGGGAAUAUUGGACAAUGGGCGAAAGCCUGAUCCAGCCAUGCCGCGUGUGUGAAGAAGGUCUUCGGAUUGUAAAGCACUUUAAGUUGGGAGGAGGGGCAGUAAGUUAAUACCUUGCUGUUUUGACGUUACCAACAGAAUAAGCACCGGCUAACUUCGUG
rnacentral:rRNA from 1 species